rnacentral:rRNA from 1 species
AUUGAACGCUGGCGGCAGGCCUAACACAUGCAAGUCGAGCGGAUGAGAGGAGCUUGCUUCUUGAUUCAGCGGCGGACGGGUGAGUAAUGCCUAGGAAUCUGCCUGGUAGUGGGGGACAACGCUUCGAAAGAAACGCUAAUACCGCAUACGUCCUACGGGAGAAAGCAGGGGACCUUCGGGCCUUGCGCUAUCAGAUGAGCCUAGGUCGGAUUAGCUAGUUGGUGAGGUAAUGGCUCACCAAGGCGACGAUCCGUAACUGGUCUGAGAGGAUGAUCAGUCACACUGGAACUGAGACACGGUCCAGACUCCUACGGGAGGCAGCAGUGGGGAAUAUUGGACAAUGGGCGAAAGCCUGAUCCAGCCAUGCCGCGUGUGUGAAGAAGGUCUUCGGAUUGUAAAGCACUUUAAGUUGGGAGGAAGGGUUGUACGUUAAUACCGUGCAAUUUUGACGUUACCGACAGAAUAAGCACCGGCUAACUCUGUGCCAGCCGCCGCCGUAA